AGGAGGGACGUCCCACAGUUAACUCUGUGUAUCCAACUCACGUGGAACUUGUCGAACUUUUAAAAGUUCAAACAUUUAACUCAGGAGGUCGGUUUUGUUGUACUGCGCCUUCAAGGCUAGUCCUCCCCGCCCAUCAUUUCUACGUGCCUUUCUGCGUGCCUUAAUCUCCUCCCUAGGACAACAGACAGACAUUAAGGAAUCAGAUCUCACGUAGCGUUUGUGAGAAAUACUACAAAAACAUCAAUAAACUACACCAGCUCACAUCCAUGUUUACUGUGCCCAGUUUAAUGAUAAACAUGAUGUUUCCC